UGAAAUGGUUAAGUAAGGAGUGAGCUACACUAGCCCAGUAAAGACAUCACUCUAUCUCACUGCCACAGGAGUAAGUGUGGGUAGAAAACAAAAAUGACCAAUGGAGCAUAAUUUGUAAUAAACCCAUUUGUUCAUAAAAACGUUUACUUUCCAUUUACCUGGGUGAGAUCCAUAAAACAAUGCACAAGCAACACAUUAUCAUCAUCACGUUAUCACAUAGACUUUAUAAUACAACAUUUAUCACGCGUUUGCAUUUCAAUCUUUAAACAGCAUAAUUCCUCUUUACCAGCCUACUAGUAUCUAUGGGGAUCCAUAGGGCUCCCGCUACUCGUGAACCCUUAACUUUUAUAACCUGAUUCCAGGGCUGUCCCCAUACCCCGUCCGGUAUGGGCGCCAAAACCAUGAACCUCAAUACCCCGUCUGGUAUGAAGGUGAAACAGGCCGUCCCCAUACCCUGUCCGGUAUGGGUGCCAAAACACAUAAGGUCUCCAUACUCCGUCCGGUAUGAGAGACCACGUUCCCGGUAGGGUUCCCUACGGACCUGGUCCGUCCACCAUCUCCCAGGAUACCUAGUCAGGCUGUCCA
rnacentral:lncRNA from 1 species